AACUUUUGGCAACGGAUCUCUUGGUUCCGGUAUCGAUGAAGAACGCAGCGAAAUGCGAUAAAUAAUGUGAAUUGCAGAAUGCAGUGAAUCAUCGAGUCUUUGAACGCACAUUGCGCCCCCUGGUAUUCCGGGGGGCAUGCCUGUCCGAGCGUCAUUGCUGCCCUCAAGCCCGGCUUGUGUGUUGGGUCCUCGUCCUUAGGGACAGGCCCGAAAGGCAAUGGCAGUACCGCGUCCGGUCCUCGAGCGUAUGGGGCUUUGUCACCCGCUCUGUAGGCCCGGCCGGCGCUCCGCCGACCAACCAAAAACUAUUUUUCAGGUUGACCUCGGAUCAGGUAGGGAUACCCGCUGAACUUAAGCAUAUCAAUAAGCGGAGGCU
rnacentral:misc_RNA from 1 species